GACAGAGGUGCCGAGCGUUAGGCGGAAUCACUGGGCUUAAAGCGUGUGUAGGCGGACCGUUAAGUACCUUGUGAAAUCCCCCGGCUCAACCGGGGAACGGCUGGGUAUACUGGCGGUCUUGAGCCAUCCAGGGGCAGUCGGAACAGACGGUGGAGCGGUGAAAUGCGUAGAUAUCAGGAGGAACACCGGUGGCGAAGGCGGGUCUCUGGGCAACAACUGACGCUGAGGAGCGAAAGCGUGGGGAGCGAACAGG
rnacentral:rRNA from 1 species